AGUGAACGCUGGCGGCGUGCUUAACACAUGCAAGUCGAACGAGAACGGAUUAUAGCUUGCUAUAGUUGUCAGCUAAGUGGCGCACGGGUGAGUAAUGUAUAGGUAAUAUGCCUCUUACUAAGGGAUAACAAAUGGAAACGUUUGCUAAUACCUUAUACUCCUUAUUAACAGAAGUUAAUAAGGGAAAGAUUUAUUGGUAAGAGAUUAGCCUGUAUUGUAUCAGUUAGUUGGUGGGGUAAUGGCUUACCAAGACUAUGACACAUAACUGGUUUGAGAGGAUGAUCAGUCACACUGGAACUGAGACACGGUCCAGACUCCUACGGGAGGCAGCAGUGGGGAAUAUUGCACAAUGGAUGAAAGUCUGAUACAGCAACGCCGCGUGGAGGAUGACACAUUUCGGUGCGUAAACUCCUUUUAUAUGAGAAGAUAAUGACGGUAUUAUAUGAAUAAGCACCGGCUAACUCCGUGCCAGCAGCCGCAGUAA
rnacentral:rRNA from 1 species